AAAAAAUUAGUUAAAAAAUAACAUUAGUUUGUCAAACUAAAAUUAUUAAUUGUUAAUAUUUUUUA
rnacentral:tRNA from 1 species